GUCCAUUAUUUGUUCUUUAUGUUUGUCCGUACAGGAGAAACCAAAAUGAAUAUUCUCUGUAACCGUUGUUCGUUAAUCGCAAUGAUUCAAUCUCACCGCCAACGAAGAGAUGCGUGAAUUUAUCGCCACAAAUUCACAAAAUUCAUAAACGUUCUUCUGUUUUUCGCCAUGGAUGAUCUUCCGCCUUCGUUAGUUCUCGAAAUCCUGAAUCGACUGGCCGAUUCCGCCGAUUUGGCUCGGUGUCGUGUGGCUUCCAAAUCUCUUAAUGUUCUUUCUCGUGAGGUUAGGUCAGUGAACCUCUUUUGUUCAUUGGAUCGAUAUCUCAAGUCUAGGGCUGUGGAGACGAGGUUGUUAGUAAUGCCUUUCAAGGUCAUAUUGAAGAGUCUGAUGAACGAUUUUGUGGCUCUUGAUUCUGUGUCGAUCGGUGUGGAGAAGUCACUUGGACGGAUUUCGUAUGAGCACGACGAUGUUGAGGAUUGGUCUGAUGACUUGUUCUUGACGGAUGUUGGUUUCGCUAGGGAAUGGCUGCCGGCGAUUGGUAGAGGUUUGACUUCCUUGUCGAUAGUGGAUUUUUGGGUUCAAUCAUGCUGGAGGCAAUCGAAGAUUUUGGCGCUAAUUACUUUAUGCUGUGGCAAUCUUCAGGAACUUGAAUUGAAGAAUGCUUGGUUGUCAGUGGAUGGUCUGAAUAGAUUGAAUUCCCUCAAGUGUCUGACCCUAGAAUUUAUAAGAUUAGAUGAUGAAGAUCUGAGCGAGGUUAACUAUAACUUCCCUCAUCUUGAAAUUCUUAAUUUGAUAGGGGUUGGGGGCCUAAAUGAACCAAAAAUUCAUCUGUCACACCUUAAAACCUGUCGAUGGACAGUGUCAAAUGCUCCAGUUUCUCUGAGCAUAUGUGCACCAAGCCUAUCAAAACUUGAACUGAAGUGUGUCAAACCAAAAUCUCUUAUUAUCCAAACUCCCAUGCUAUCUGAUUUUCAUUUUUGUCUACAAGAUGCAAGUGGGUUACAAGUUAAUGAAUUCCCUUGCUUGAGAAAGCUUCAGCUUCAUUUUCCGUGUCUUUACAGUCUCAUCACAACAUUUUCAUCUGCAAGAACUAUAAAGGAACUCACUCUCAAUACAAUGCAACGUGCUGAAUCUGUUGAAUCUGUUAAGCUUUGCCUUGAUACACUGUUUGAAAUAUUUCCAAAUCUUAGCUUUCUUAAAUUGGGUCCAGGAGUUUUGUCAGAAGCCGAGACUUGUUAUCAAGCUGAAGGUUUGGAUGGACGGAUAGGGAUGAGAGAUUUGAAAAAGCUUCAUGCUAGCCUUGAAACCUACAAGAUUGAGUUAAAACUUCCAUUUAUCAUUCCCAUUUUGGAAAAAUGUACCGACUCCCUCGAUAUGGAAUUGCUCAUCUAUCGCAAUGCCGAUUCUCACCUUGCUGGUGGAAUCAUGUCAAAACGUGCAGUUAAUCAUCCAAGACCAAAAUGGAGAUGGGAACUGUGGAAGGAAGGAUUAAAAGAACCGUGGGCUAAAGGGCAUUUAAGCUGUCAAGUGUAAUUGUCAUAGUGGUGGGACAAACUCUUGCUCCUGAAGGUGCAAAGCUUCAAAAGAGGCAAAUCCAUGUCAUUUAAAAACUAAGCCUACCCAUCUUUUGAAAUUGGCAGACUUAUGGGGGUUCUAAAGAACGCCAAAGAACUCAGUAGAUCAAUGGAUGACCCAAAAGCAAUCCUACAUAUGAUACCAGGUCUAUAAAAUUACUUUUUUGAUCUUUUAUGUUCAGAUCUUUGCUCGAAGUCUCCUGUUGAUACUUGGUUCGAGAAAAACUGUUGCUGCUGCUGCUGCUGAGCAAUUUGAAAAAAGGGUCAGUUCUUUUGCACCUUCAUUUUAUACUCUACAAGAUAUCCUUAAUAAUUGCAAUGAUCAGUGUGUACAUAUUUCCAACCAAAUAAUGACAUUUGUUCCCGAUACAAGAUUGAAUGUCUGAUGCCUCUUAUUUGGAUAGAGAAAGAUUAGUUUGUACUAUAAACUAUUUCAUUCAUUAACCUGAAUGCUAUUCUCAGUGAUUUGGUUGUAUGGGGUUUACAUACUUGAAAAUAUUCUUUCAGUGACAGAGCUGGUAUUAAUUAGAUGGUUACACUGCUCAUGAAGUCAAGUCACUUUGCCAGAGUUUCAGGUUGCUGUGAGCUCCACCCUUUCGAUCAACCUGUAAGGAUACUUUCUUACCUCUUUUGAUUGAAACUAAAGGGAAAACAUGGUUCCAACUAGAAUACAACACAGCCCAGCCAAUUCAAGAGAGCCGGGUGCAGCUGUAGAGGGAAGAGAUAGGAGUAAUCAGAUACGUUGACACUGCUCAUGAUGUCAAAUUGUCAUGCUGGUUCAGAAAUUUUAAGUUCCUGGGUAG